CCUAUCCCAAGAGGCAUUGUGUGUGUGGCUGGUGUGUCACAUGUGCAUCAGUAGGUGGCAGAGAAGAGAGGUUACGUCUAUGCUCAGUGUUCUUAUCUAUGAACAUCUGAAUUAGUAUCCUAAUGUU